rnacentral:lncRNA from 1 species
CACGCUCGCCGGCGCUCCGCUGGCCUCGCGGGGCUUUGGCCACCCGCGGCUGACGUCGGCGCGCCCCUGCCGAGCUAUCCUUUUACUACAGCCCGCCGGCGGCUUUGUGCCGGCCCCGCCCUCACCGGCCCCCGCCCCCCGCGAGCCCGUACCUUGUGGUCUAUAUAGAAGGCGCUGCCGCGCCGAUUCUCGGCUCUCCGGGACCGAGAGUUCUUUGGAAGCAGAGCGCGAGCGAGGGAGCGGGCGAGCUCCUAGGGGGUGUGGGUGUAGGGAGAGAGAGAGCAGGCAGAGGCGGCGGUGGCAGAGCUGGGGAACAGCGGAUUCCGCCCGGAGCCACACCGAGGGGAGCUUGCGGUCGCGACUUGCCGCCCUAAGCACUGUCCCAAGUCCGGCCCGCUCGGCGAGGACUUCCGUCUCCUGGCCGAACCCUGUCAAGCAAGCUGGGAUCUAUGAGUGGAAAGGUGACCAAGCCCAAAGAGGAGAAAGAUGCUUCUAAGGGUAUAAUUCACUUGAUCAGGUGCUUUGAGCUCGGCUCUGUGCUGCAUGCAAGAGAACAGAGACACGUGGGAUGUUGUCACUGCAGGUACCUAUGGGGAUGCCCAAGGAGUGUGUCCCUUUACUCAUCAGCCAUUCAUGCUUUCAUCAGGCAUCUCAUAAAGGUCUCAUUUGCGUCUCACUCCAGUGCUGGAUGCUGGGCAUACAAAAAUAAAUCCAACCAAAGAAGUCCA